AGUGAACGCUGGCGGCGUGCUUAACACAUGCAAGUCGAACGAGAACGGAAUAUAGCUUGCUAUAUUUGUCAGCUAAGUGGCGCACGGGUGAGUAAUGUAUAGAUAACCUGCCCUUAAGAAAGGAAUAACAGUUGGAAACGACUGCUAAUGCCCUAUAUGCCUUUAAUACAUAAGUAUGCAAGGGAAACGCUUUAGUGCUUAAGGAUGGGUCUGAAUAGUAUAAGCUUGUUGGUGAGGUAAUGGCUCACCAAGGCUAUGACGCCUAACUGGUUUGAGAGGAUGAUCAGUCACACUGGAACUGAGACACGGUCCAGACUCCUACGGGAGGCAGCAGUGGGGAAUAUUGCACAAUGGACGAAAGUCUGAUGCAGCAACGCCGCGUGGAGGAUGACACAUUUCGGUGCGUAAACUCCUUUUAUAUAGGAAGAUAAUGACGGUACUAUAUGAAUAAGCACCGGCUAACUCCGUGCCAGCAGCCGCCGUAA
rnacentral:rRNA from 1 species